AGGGGAGGGGUGAAAUGGUUCAGUUUAAAAUUACGAUUUCCUUUUAGAAAUUUUAUUUAAACAGAACAAAGUAAAGAGGAGAAAGGAUAGGAAGAAUGCAAAACACGUAAUUUUUUUACUAGUUCAGAACAAAAGACCCUACGUCUAGUCGUUAAUCUCUUCAAAAGAGGGAUUAACCUUUCCUCUAAAAUAAGUAACAAUUUACAAUUGAGAAAUAAGGAUUGAG
rnacentral:lncRNA from 1 species